rnacentral:rRNA from 1 species
GCUAAUACCGGAUACCCACGAUUGGUCGCAUGGCCGAUCGUGGAAAGAACUUCGCUUCGGGAGGGUCUCGCGGCCUAUCAGCUUGUUGUGGGGUAACGGCCCACCAAGGCAUCGACGGGUAGCUGGUCUGAGAGGACGAUCAGCCACACUGGGACUGAGACACGGCCCAGACUCCUACGGGAGGCAGCAGUGGGGAAUCUUGCGCAAUGGGCGAAAGCCUGACGCAGCAACGCCGCGUGCGGGAUGAAGGCCUUCGGGUUGUAAACCGCUUUCAGUAGGGACGAAAUUGACGGUACCUACAGAAGAAGCCCCGGCCAACUACGUG